rnacentral:rRNA from 1 species
AUUGAACGCUGGCGGCAGGCCUAACACAUGCAAGUCGAGCGGAUGAAGGGAGCUUGCUCCUGGAUUCAGCGGCGGACGGGUGAGUAAUGCCUAGGAAUCUGCCUGGUAGUGGGGAUAACGUCCGGAAACGGGCGCUAAUACCGCAUACGUCCUGAGGGAGAAAGUGGGGGAUCUUCGGACCUCACGCUAUCAGAUGAGCCUAGGUCGGAUUAGCUAGUUGGUGGGGUAAAGGCCUACCAAGGCGACGAUCCGUAACUGGUCUGAGAGGAUGAUCAGUCACACUGGAACUGAGACACGGUCCAGACUCCUACGGGAGGCAGCAGUGGGGAAUAUUGGACAAUGGGCGAAAGCCUGAUCCAGCCAUGCCGCGUGUGUGAAGAAGGUCUUCGGAUUGUAAAGCACUUUAAGUUGGGAGGAAGGGCAGUAAGUUAAUACCUUGCUGUUUUGACGUUACCAACAGAAUAAGCACCGGCUAACUCCGUG